rnacentral:misc_RNA from 1 species
GAUGAAGAACGCAGCGAAAUGCGAUAAGUAAUGUGAAUUGCAGAAUUCAGUGAAUCAUCGAAUCUUUGAACGCACAUUGCGCCCGCCAGUAUUCUGGCGGGCAUGCCUGUCCGAGCGUCAUUUCAACCAUCAAGCCCCGGGCUUGUGUUGGGGACCUGCGUCCGACGCAGGCCCUGAAAACCAGUGGCGGGCUCGCUGUCCACACCGAGCGUAGUAACUAACCUCGCUAUGGAGUGGCGCGGGCGCCUGCCGUAAGACCCCCAAUUUCACAAGGUUGACCUCGGAUCAGGUAGGAAUACCCGCUGAACUUAAGCAUAUCAAUAAGCGGAGGA